rnacentral:rRNA from 1 species
AACGAACGUUAGCGGCGCGCCUAACACAUGCAAGUCGCACGAGAAAGGGCUUCGGCCCCGGUAAAGUGGCGCACGGGUGAGUAACACGUGGGUAACCUUCCCUCGAGCGGGGAAUAACAUUCCGAAAGGAGUGCUAAUACCGCAUAAGACCACGGCUUCGAAAGGAGCUGAGGUAAAAGCUGGCCUCUUCAUGAAAGCUAGCACUCGAGGAUGGGCCCGCGGCCCAUCAGCUUGUUGGUAGGGUAACGGCCUACCAAGGCUAAGACGGGUAACUGGUCUGAGAGGAUGAUCAGUCGCACUGGAACUGGGACACGGUCCAGACUCCUACGGAAGGCAGCAGGGGGGAAUCUUGCGCAAUGGACGAAAGUCUGACGCAGCGAGGCCGCGUGGGUGAUGAAGGCCUUCGGGUUGUAAAGCCCUGUGGGGAGAGACGAAUAAGUCUUGGCUAAUAUCCAAGAUGAUGACGGUAUCUCCUUAGCAAGCACCGGCUAACUCUGUGCCAGCCGCCGCGGUAAGAC